rnacentral:rRNA from 1 species
AGCGAACGCUGGCGGCAGGCCUAACACAUGCAAGUCGAACGAACUCUUCGGGGUUUGUGGCGGACGGGUGUGUAACACGUGGGAACGUGCCCUUUGGUUCGGAAUAACUCAGGGAAACGUGUGCUAAUACCGAAUGUGCCCUUCGGGGGAAAGAUUUAUUGCCAUUAGAGCGGCCCUCGUUUGAUUAGCUAGUUGGUGAGGUAACGGCUCACCAAGGCGACGAUCAGCAGCUGGGCUGAGAGGAUGACCAGCGACACUGGGACUGAGACGCGGCCCAGACUCCUACGGGAGGGAGCAGUGGGGGAUCGUGCAAAGUGGGCGGAAGGAUGACGCUGCCAGGACGGGAGAAUGAUGAAGGUCGUAGGAUUGUAAAGUUCUUUCAACGGGGACGAUAAUGACGGUACCCGGAGAAGAAGCCACGGCUAACUUCGUG